rnacentral:rRNA from 1 species
ACCCUUCUCUACGGAAUAGCCUCGGGAAACUGAGAGUAAUACCGUAUACGCCCUUCGGGGGAAAGAUUUAUCGGAGAAGGAUCAGCCCGCGUAAGAUUAGAUAGUUGGUGGGGUAAUGGCCUACCAAGUCUACGAUCUUUAGCUGGUUUUAGAGGAUGAUCAGCAACACUGGGACUGAGACACGGCCCAGACUCCUACGGGAGGCAGCAGUGGGGAAUCUUGGACAAUGGGCGCAAGCCUGAUCCAGCCAUGCCGCGUGUGUGAUGAAGGCCUUAGGGUCGUAAAGCACUUUCGCUAGAGAUGAUAAUGACAGUAUCUAGUAAAGAAGUCCCGGCUAACUCCGUGCCAGCAGCCGCGGUAAUACGGAGGGGACUAGCGUUGUUCGGAAUUACUGGGCGUAAAGCGUACGUAGGCGGAUCAGAAAGUAUGGGGUGAAAUCCCAGGGCUCAACCCCGGAACUGCCUCAUAAACUCCUGGUCUAGAGUUCGAGAGAGGUGAGUGGAAUUCCGAGUGUAGAGGUGAAAUUCGUAGAUAUUCGGAGGAACACCAGUGGCGAAGGCGGCUCACUGGCUCGAUACUGACGCUGAGGUACGAAAGUGUGGGGAGCAAACAGGAUUAGAUACCCUGGUAGUCCACACCGUAAACGAUGAAUGCCAGUCGUCGGGUAGCAUGC